rnacentral:rRNA from 1 species
UUGGUGCAUGGCCGUUCUUAGUUGGUGGAGCGAUUUGUCAGGUUAAUUCCGGUAACGAACGUAACUCUAGCCUAUUAAAUAGACGUAUUACCGAUAUCACGAGGGUCCGCGGCCGCGCGGCGCGUCGCUCACGCGGCGCGUUCGCGCGCGCGCGCGGUCUUCAUCUAUCGGCGUACAAUGAAAAUCUUCUUAGAGGGACCGGUGGUAAUUAUAGCCACACGA